CGGGACACGUGGUAUCCUGUCUGAAUAUGGGGGGACCAUCCUCCAAGGCUAAAUACUCCUGACUGACCGAUAGUGAACCAGUACCGUGAGGGAAAGGCGAAAAGAACCCCGGCGAGGGGAGUGAAAAAGAACCUGAAACCGUGUACGUACAAGCAGUGGGAGCACGCUUAGGCGUGUGACUGCGUACCUUUUGUAUAAUGGGUCAGCGACUUAUAUUCUGUAGCAAGGUUAACCGAAUAGGGGAGCCGAAGGGAAACCGAGUCUUAACUGGGCGUUAAGUUGCAGGGUAUAGACCCGAAACCCGGUGAUCUAGCCAUGGGCAGGUUGAAGGUUGGGUAACACUAACUGGAGGACCGAACCGACUAAUGUUGAAAAAUUAGCGGAUGACUUGUGGCUGGGGGUGAAAGGCCAAUCAAACCGGGAGAUAGCUGGUUCUCCCCGAAAGCUAUUUAGGUAGCGCCUCGUGAAUUCAUCUCCGGGGGUAGAGCACUGUUUCGGCAAGGGGGUCAUCCCGACUUACCAACCCGAUGCAAACUGCGAAUACCGGAGAAUGUUAUCACGGGAGACACACGGCGGGUGCUAACGUCCGUCGUGAAGAGGGAAACAACCCAGACCGCCAGCUAAGGUCCCAAAGUCAUGGUUAAGUGGGAAACGAUGUGGGAAGGCCCAGACAGCCAGGAUGUUGGCUUAGAAGCAGCCAUCAUUUAAAGAAAGCGUAAUAGCUCACUGGUCGAGUCGGCCUGCGCGGAAGAUGUAACGGGGCUAAACCAUGCACCGAAGCUGCGGCAGCGACGCUGAUGCGUUGUUGGGUAGGGGAGCGUUCUGUAAGCCUGUGAAGGUGUGCUGUGAGGCAUGCUGGAGGUAUCAGAAGUGCGAAUGCUGACAUAAGUAACGAUAAAGCGGGUGAAAAGCCCGCUCGCCGGAAGACCAAGGGUUCCUGUCCAACGUUAAUCGGGGCAGGGUGAGUCGACCCCUAAGGCGAGGCCGAAAGGCGUAGUCGAUGGGAAACAGGUUAAUAUUCCUGUACUUGGUGUUACUGCGAAGGGGGGACGGAGAAGGCUAUGUUGGCCGGGCGACGGUUGUCCCGGUUUAAGCGUGUAGGCUGGUUUUCCAGGCAAAUCCGGAAAAUCAAGGCUGAGGCGUGAUGACGAGGCACUACGGUGCUGAAGCAACAAAUGCCCUGCUUCCAGGAAAAGCCUCUAAGCAUCAGGUAACAUCAAAUCGUACCCCAAACCGACACAGGUGGUCAGGUAGAGAAUACCAAGGCGCUUGAGAGAACUCGGGUGAAGGAACUAGGCAAAAUGGUGCCGUAACUUCGGGAGAAGGCACGCUGAUAUGUAGGUGAAGCGACUUGCUCGUGGAGCUGAAAUCAGUCGAAGAUACCAGCUGGCUGCAACUGUUUAUUAAAAACACAGCACUGUGCAAACACGAAAGUGGACGUAUACGGUGUGACGCCUGCCCGGUGCCGGAAGGUUAAUUGAUGGGGUCAGCGCAAGCGAAGCUCUUGAUCGAAGCCCCGGUAAACGGCGGCCGUAACUAUAACGGUCCUAAGGUAGCGAAAUUCCUUGUCGGGUAAGUUCCGACCUGCACGAAUGGCGUAAUGAUGGCCAGGCUGUCUCCACCCGAGACUCAGUGAAAUUGAACUCGCUGUGAAGAUGCAGUGUACCCGCGGCAAGACGGAAAGACCCCGUGAACCUUUACUAUAGCUUGACACUGAACAUUGAGCCUUGAUGUGUAGGAUAGGUGGGAGGCUUUGAAGUGUGGACGCCAGUCUGCAUGGAGCCGGCCUUGAAAUACCACCCUUUAAUGUUUGAUGUUCUAACGUUGACCCGUGAUCCGGGUUGCGGACAGUGUCUGGUGGGUAGUUUGACUGGGGCGGUCUCCUCCUAAAGAGUAACGGAGGAGCACGAAGGUUGGCUAAUCCUGGUCGGACAUCAGG
rnacentral:rRNA from 1 species